rnacentral:misc_RNA from 1 species
UCCGGCUUAUCACCGGCAGUUCCCUUAGAGUUCCCACCAUAACGUGCUGGUAACUAAGGAUGAGGGUUGCGCUCGUUGCGGGACUUAACCCAACAUCUCACGACACGAGCUGACGACAGCCAUGCAACACCUGUGUUGGACCCAACUAAAUGCGAGGUUAGUCUCCUAUCCUCUCUGUCCACAUGUCAAGGCCUGGUAAGGUUUUUCGCGUUGCAUCAAAUUAAACCACAUGCUCCACCGCUUGUGCGGGUCCCCGUCAAUUCCUUUGAGUUUUAAUCUUGCGACCGUACUCCCCAGGCGGAAUACUUAACGCGUUAACUACAACACCGACUCGUACGAGCCGACAUCCAGCAUUCAUCGUUUACGGUGUGGACUAC